GCAUCCUUACUGCAAGUCAUUCUCGUCAUCCAGUAUAUAUAAUAUAUAUUUACCACCUAUAUAUAUAUAUAGAAGUGUGUAUAAAAAUAAGACGUUCCUCACCAUCAAAUGUCCUUGAAACAUUUCUGAAGAAAGAGACCCUGUGACUAUCAAAUAACGCCUGUAAAAAUUAAAAUCCCUGCAAGAACUAGGACUAUGUUAUCAAAAGCAUGUGUUGAUUGACAGGAUUAAAAAAAGAGCCUAUUUUGUAGUUAAAACCACAAUUUUAGUAAGUUAUUUCUUCAAUUAUUGGAUAAAAAAAACAAGCAAACAAAUGAGUUUUUGUUUUGUAGUUAUAGUUGUUUACGGUGUAACGCUUGGUAACGGUGUCUGACAGCUGAUGUGGUGUUGCUAAGGAAUGUGUCUCAGUGUGGUUGAAGAGCAACACACCACUCGUACCUGCGCAGUAGUUUAUUAUAGACUCCUCUUUACUCACAACAACACGACACAAUGUUUGUCCCCCACGGCCAGCGUCCUCAAAAAAAAAAAAAAAAAAAAAAAAGAGAAAAACAAAACACUAGGUUAAAAACUGUCUCCACAGCUGCAGGUAGAUUUCCCGCCACCGUGAACGCAGCGUUUCUCACUCAUCAGCAUUGCCUGCUGUCUGAAUCACAGAUGAACAGGCUAUCUGUUAGCCUAGUUAGCCUGGGGUGUAAGAGAAGAGCAGCUACUUAAAAUAUCCGUGUGUAUGUGUGUGUACGUUAGGUGCGGAUUUAAUGUCGUUUAGCCACAGACGCUGCCAUAUGUGGAUGUUUCGUUGCGAUAAGUUUAAGGGGAAUUUGGUUUUCCAUUUAAAAAGGAAAAAAUAAAAAAAGAAAUAAAUACGACACAGGAAACUAAUCCAUCUCCUGUCGCAGCUGUUGAAAACGGUGUUCAGCUGAUGGGGUUUUGUUUUGUUUUUGUUUUUUUUCCCCAGACACCAUCUGUGAUAUAGCUCUUGCCUCUAGCCUAAUAACUGCUCUCACCUGCGACUGUUUGUUUGCUCUUGUGUUUUACCAAGUGCCCCCUUCGCCCCCUCCUGCCUUCCUCAUACAGCAACUGUUCAUGUAUUUAAAAGAUCAAGUAGAUGUACGCAGUUUUUCUCUUGUUGAUAUGACAAAAAACUACAUAAUUAAUGCGAAUAAAAAAAAUCACAAAGACUAAAACUAAGAAAUUGAUUGUUUUUUCCUCACAUUUUUUUUUGCUUUCACUGUUGACAUUGACUAACAUUUCCAGAUUAUUUUCCUAGAAAGACGUCUGAUACAUUAUUUACAGUAGAGCAGUGAUUCCCAACCACUGUGAGGAGGAACACUGGUGUGCUGUGUGGGAUCAUCAGGCAGAGCAAUUAAAAACUGUUCUACUAGGUGACAGUAGAUGGCUAUAAACACUAAAGGAGAGGAGAAAGAGGAGCUGCUGAAAAAAAUUUCUUCAAUUCCUGUGAGUAUAUCCAUGUUGACAUCAACUAAACUGGCCCAGGUUUCUGUUCGGAAUUUUUUUUUUUUUGUCCAUCUGGUGCCAAGGAAUCCACAGCCUGAUACUGGAUGUAUAUGUACAAUAAUAAUAACUUUGUAAAUUCUGUUGUUUUGAGUUAAAAGUGUUAGCAUGAGUGUGCCAGGCUCUCUGAUGUCCAGCUGUCACUGUAGUACUACUCCCAAGUACUAUAAUCAAAUACUUAUCAGUUAAACAAUCAAGCAAAGGACUUGCACCAAACAAACCACUAACAGUUGUGGGUGUUUGUGGAAAUUUUAUUGUGAAAUGGCAGAGGAUACAAUAAGUUAAGACUAGGGGGGUGGUUUGAUGAGCAGUGGUUUCAUUUU